GUCGCCGUGGCGGGGCCGGCCCCGGCGGCCUGCGGCGCCGCCUCGGGCUGGGACAGCACGGCGGUCGGGCGGUCCGGCGCGGUCAGGGCGACG
rnacentral:tRNA from 1 species